CACGUAGUUAGCCGGGGCUUCUUAAUCAGGUACCGUCAUUUUCUUCCCUGCUGAUAGAGCUUUACGUACCGAGAUACUUCUUCACUCACGCGGCGUCGCUGCAUCAGGGUUUCCCCCAUUGUGCAAUAUUCCCCACUGCUGCCUCCCGUAGGAGUUUGGGCCGUGUCUCAGUCCCAAUGUGGCCGUUCACCCUCUCAGGCCGGCUACUGAUCGUCGCUUUGGUGGGCCGUUACCCCGCCAACUGGCUAAUCAGACGCGGAUCCAUCGUAUACCACCGAAGUUUUUCACACUGUUCCAUGCGGAACCGUGCGCUUAUGCGGUAUUAGCACCUAUUUCUAAGUGUUAUCCCCCUGUAUACGGCAGGUUAUCCACGCGUUACUCACCCGUCCGCCACUAAUCCAUACAUCACUAGGUUUCAAUAUGGAUCCGUUCGACUUGCAUGUGUUAGGCACGCCGCCAGCGUUCAUCCUGAGCCAGGAUCAAACUCU
rnacentral:rRNA from 1 species